UACCUGGUUGAUCCUGCCAGUAGUCAUAUGCUUGUCUCAAAGAUUAAGCCAUGCAUGUGUAAGUACAAGCCGAUUUAAGGCGAAACCGCGAAUGGCUCAUUAAAUCAGUUAUGUUUCAUUGGAUCUGUAAACCCACUUACUUGGAUAACUGUGGCAAUUCUAGAGCUAAUACAUGCAAUUGGUCUCUGACCGCAAGGGAAGAGUGCUUUUAUUAGUUCAAAACUGGUCGGGCCCCGGUCCGUAACCCACCUGUGGUGAAUCUGAAUAACUUCGGGCUGAGCGCACGGUCUCCGCACCGGCGCAGCUUCUUUCAAGUGUCUGCCUUAUCAGCUUUCGAUUGUAGGUUAUGCGCCUACAAAUGUAGGUUAUGCGCCUACAAUGGCUAUAACGGGUAACGGGGAAUCAGGGUUCGAUUCCGGAGAGGGAGCCUGAGAAACGGCUACCACAUCUAAGGAAGGCAGCAGGCACGCAAAUUACCCACUCCCGGCACGGGGAGGUAGUGACGAAAAAUAACGAUGUGAGUCUCAUCCGAGGCCUCGCAAUCGGAAUGAGUACACUUUAAAUCCUUUAAUGAGUAUCCAUUGGAGGGCAAGUCUGGUGCCAGCAGCCUUGGUAAUUCCAGUUCCAAUAGCGUAUAUUAAAGUUGUUGCAGUUAAAAAGCUCGUAGUUGGAUCUCAGUUCCGGACUGACGGUGCACCGCCCGGUGUUUGCUGUCACGCUCCGAACAGCCGCCCCGCCGGCUCGCACGGGAUGCUCUUUGUCGAGUGUCCCGAGUGGCCGGAGAGUUUACUUUGAAAAAAUUAGAGUGCUCAGAGCAGGCUAUUUGAAUGGCCCGAAUGGUGAUGCAUAGAAUAAUGGAAUAGGACCUCGGUUCUAUUUUGUUGGUUUUCGGAACCAGAGGUAAUGACUAAUCGGAACAGGCGGGGGCAUUCGUAUUGCGACGCUAGAGGUGAAAUUCUUGGACCGUCGCAAGACGAACCACUGCGAAAGCAUUUGCCAGGAUGUUUUCAUUAAUCAAGAACGAAAGUUAGAGGUUCGAAGGCGAUCAGAUACCGCCCUAGUUCUAACCAUAAACGAUGCCAACUAGCGAUCCGCCGGCGUUAUUCCCAUGACCCGGCGGGCAGCUUCCGGGAAACCAAAGUCUUUGGGUUCCGGGGGAAGUAUGGUUGCAAAGCUGAAACUUAAAGGAAUUGACGGAAGGGCACCACCAGGAGUGGAGCCUGCGGCUUAAUUUGACUCAACACGGGAAACCUCACCAGGCCCAGACACCGGAAGGAUUGACAGAUUGAGAGCUCUUUCUCGAUUCGGUGGGUGGUGGUGCAUGGCCGUUCUUAGUUGGUGGAGCGAUUUGUCUGGUUAAUUCCGAUAACGAACGAGACUCUGGCCUACUAAGUAGUCGACGGAUCUCCAGAAAAUGGUGUCCAGUUCGCAACUUCUUCUUAGAGGGAUAAGCGGCAAUUCUAGCCGCACGAGAUUGAGCAAUAACAGGUCUGUGAUACCCUUAGAUGUUCUGGGCCGCACGCGCGCUACACUGAAGGGAUCAACGAGUUUUCCCCUUCCGAGAGGAGCGGGUAACCCGUUCAAAGCCUUUCUUGAUAGGGAUUGGGGCUUGCAAUUGUUUCCCAUGAACGAGGAAUUCCCAGUAAGUGCAAGUCAUCAGCUUGCGCUGACUACGUCCCUGCCCUUUGUAAACACCGCCCGUCGCUACUACUGAUUGAAUGAUUUAGUGAGGCCUUCGGACUGGCGCUCUUGGAUUGUCGGCCCCGUUGCCCGCGAGGGUUUUCUGGGGUCGUCGCCUCGAGCUGACGGAAAGAUGUCCAAACUUGAUCAUUUAGAGGAAGUAAAAGUCGUAACAAGGUUUCCGUAGGUGAACCUGCGGAAGGAUCAUUA
rnacentral:rRNA from 1 species